rnacentral:rRNA from 1 species
GCCGUGCAAAGGUAGCAUAAUCAUUUGCCUUAUAAUUGAAGGCUAGUAUGAAUGGUUUGACAAGAAUGUAACUGUCUCUUUAUGAUUAAAUAGAAUUUUAUUUUUAGGUGAAGAAGCCUAAAUUUUAUUAAAAGACAAGAAGACCCUAUCGAGCUUAAAAAGAAUUAAUAGAAUUAAAAUUUAUAUAAUUAAAAAAUUAUCUAUUACAAAUUUUAGUUGGGGCGACUGAGGAACAAAAAAAGCUUCCUUUAUCUAAUUUUAAUGUCAUACUAGAGAUGAUCCAAAUUUUUUUGAUUAAAGGAAUUAGUUACCGUAGGGAUAACAGCAUUAUCUUUUUUAAGAGCUCAUAUCGAAAAAAAGGUUUGUGACCUCGAUGUUGGACCAGAAUAUCCUAAAGGUGCAGCAGCCUUUAAGGGUUGGUCUGUUCGACCAUUAAA